UCCAUGGUGGUGCAGUGGCAAGGACUCUGGGCUCCCAAUGCAGGGGGCCCGGGUUCAAUCCCCGGUCAAGGAA
rnacentral:tRNA from 1 species